CCCACCUCCAGAAGAGGAGGGGACUGGGAGGAGCGCUGGACUGCCAGACUGCAGCGCCCCCUUAACUACCAAGGCAGGCCCAGGCGAGGGCGGAGGGAUUCUGGAGCAAAGGGGCGUGCCGUCCGGCCACGAGGAGGGGCGUGUGCAAGAUGAGGGGAGGGGUUAAGGUAUGUAGGAGGAACGGGAGGUGUAUCCGAGGGGGGCUGGCUGCUGGUGGCUACGCGGGACAGGACUGAUGGGGAGGGGCUUAGAUGUCAGGGAGAAAGUGGGGGUUGGGCUGCCUUGGGGUGUGUCUGCGGGGGAGGGGUAUGUCUGGAUUUGUGGGGGGAUGGGCACGACUAGGAGGGGGGAGGCUGCGCGGGAGAUGGGGUGCCAGCCUCGGCCUCCGAGGGGCCCCAAUACCUGAUUCCUGUAUGUAAACAGCUGGUUUGGGGGCGUGCGCGCCCCGCUGACGGUGGGCUCAGUAGGUGAAAACCAGGUCGGCGAUACUAGACGGGCGCCAGUCCCCUGCGAUCAUCUCGGUAACCUCAGGGGUGCAGUAGUCCGGGAAUUCGAAAUGUGACGUGCCCGAAGGGGGCAGCAGGUCUGGGUCGCGGUCCAGGGCACUGCAGUCCAGGCCGGUGGGGCCCGGGGGCAUCCUGGACAGAAAGCCCAGCGGCUCCUCCCCCGAUGCCACCGUCUCCUCUUCGCCCUCCUCUGCUGUAGCCGCCUCCUCCUCCUCUUCCUCCGGCUCCUCGUCCUCCGACAGGGUCGGAGAGGCGGCGCUAGCGGCCGC
rnacentral:lncRNA from 1 species